UAUAUUUAAGUGUAUGAGGCACAAAGAUUUUUGAUUUCUUUAGUUAUGGUUUAAUUCCAUAAAAUAUAA
rnacentral:tRNA from 1 species